GUAAAUGGAAGCGAAUUUCAUUUGUUAUGUGGUUGUUACCGAGGGCCUAUGCCCUUCGGUAAUUGGCAGAGACUUUAUCGAAGGCUCUUUUGGCCGUCGGUAUAUGCACACCCUUAAUGAAAUCAGAAUUUGGGAUGCCAGACUUCCAUUUUCCCCAAUUCUGUCUAGAGCGAAAAAAAAACCCCAACUUNCAGUCCCAAAUUCUCUGCACUCUCCCCUUCCCUU
rnacentral:lncRNA from 1 species